UACGGAGGGCAGCAGUGGGGAAUAUUGCACAAUGGGCGAAAGCCUGAUGCAGCGACGCCGCGUGAGGGAUGACGGCCUUCGGGUUGUAAACCUCUUUCAGCAGGGAAGAAGCGAAAGUGACGGUACCUGCAGAAGAAGCGCCGGCUAACUACGUGCCAGCAGCCGCGGUAAUACGUAGGGCGCAAGCGUUGUCCGGAAUUAUUGGGCGUAAAGAGCUCGUAGGCGGCUUGUCACGUCGGGUGUGAAAGCCCGGGGCUUAACCCCGGGUCUGCAUCCGAUACGGGCAGGCUAGAGUGUGGUAGGGGAGAUCGGAAUUCCUGGUGUAGCGGUGAAAUGCGCAGAUAUCAGGAGGAACACCGGUGGCGAAGGCGGAUCUCUGGGCCAUUACUGACGCUGAGGAGCGAAAGCGUGGGGAGCGAACAGGGAUUAGAUACC
rnacentral:rRNA from 1 species